rnacentral:tRNA from 1 species
GGGGGUAUAGCUCAGCGGUAGAGCAUUUGACUGCAGAUCAAGAGGUCUCCAGUUCAACUCUGGGUGCCCCCU